rnacentral:misc_RNA from 1 species
GAUGAAGAACGUAGCGAAAUGCGAUAAGUAAUGUGAAUUGCAGAAUUCAGUGAAUCAUCGAAUCUUUGAACGCACAUUGCGCCCGCCAGUAUUCUGGCGGGCAUGCCUGUUCGAGCGUCAUUUCAACCAUCAAGCUCUGCUUGUGUUGGGGUCCUGCGGCUGCCCGCAGGCCCUGAAACCCAGUGGCGGGCUCGCUAGUCACACCGAGCGCAGUAGCACAUCUCGCUCAGGGCGUGCGGCGGGUUCUUGCCGUAAAACAACCCCCCCUUUUCACCAAGGUUGACCUCGGAUCAGGUAGGAAUACCCGCUGAACUUAAGCAUAUCAUAAGCGGAGGA